AGCGAACGCUGGCGGCAGGCUUAACACAUGCAAGUCGAGCGGGCAUCCUUGUGGUGUCAGCGGCAGACGGGUGAGUAACGCGUGGGAACGUGCCCUUCGGUUCGGAAUAACUCAGGGAAACUUGAGCUAAUACCGGAUACGUGCGAGAGCAGAAAGGUUUAUCUGCCGAAGGAUCGGCCCGCGUCUGAUUAGCUAGUUGGUGAGGUUAUGGCUCACCAAGGCGACGAUCAGUAGCUGGUCUGAGAGGAUGAUCAGCCACGCUGGGGCUGAGACACGGCCCAGACUCCUACGGGAGGCAGCAGUGGGGAAUAUUGGACAAUGGGGGCAACCCUGAUCCAGCCAUGCCGCGUGAGUGAUGACGGCCUUAGGGUUGUAAAGCUCUUUUCUCCGGGACGAUAAUGACGGUACCGGAGGAAUAAGCCCCGGCUAACUUCGU
rnacentral:rRNA from 1 species